AAGGUAUGAGACAGAACAUGGAUC
rnacentral:siRNA from 1 species